UACGGAGGGUGCAAGCGUUAUCCGGAUUCACUGGGUUUAAAGGGUGCGUAGGUGGGUAGGUAAGUCCGUGGUGAAAUCCUGCAGCUUAAACUGCAGAACUGCCAUGGAUACUAUUUAUCUUGAAUACUGUGGAGGUCAGCGGAAUAUGUCAUGUAGCGGUGAAAUGCUUAGAUAUGACAUAGAACACCAAUUGCGAAGGCAGCUGGCUACACAAAUAUUGACACUGAGGCACGAAAGCGUGGGGAUCAAACAGG
rnacentral:rRNA from 1 species